UCCGGUUUGUCACCGGCAGUCUCAUUAGAGUGCCCAACUGAAUGUAGCAACUAAUGACAAGGGUUGCGCUCGUUGCGGGACUUAACCCAACACCUCACGGCACGAGCUGACGACAGCCAUGCACCACCUGUGAAAGUGCCCCGAGGGGAAGCCGUGUUUCCACGGCGGUCACUCACAUGUCAAGCCCAGGUAAGGUUCUUCGCGUUGCGUCGAAUUGAACCACAUGCUCCGCUGCUUGUGCGGGUCCCCGUCAAUUCCUUUGAGUUUUAAUCUUGCGACCGUACUCCCCAGGCGGGAUACUUACUCCGUUAGGUGCGGCACCGGCGGUAACCCGCCGACACUUAGUAUCCAUCGUUUAGGGCGUGGACUAC
rnacentral:misc_RNA from 1 species